rnacentral:rRNA from 1 species
UAGGACUCUCGGCAAUGGAUAUCUUGGCUCCCGCAUCGAUGAAGAGCGCAGCGAAAUGCGAUAUGUGGUGUGAAUUGCAGAAUCCCGUGAACCAUCGAGUUUUUGAACGCAAGUUGCGCCUGAGGCCAACUGGCCAAGGGCACGUUCGCCUGGGCGUCAAGC